CCCUUAGAUGUUCUGGGCCGCACGCGCGCUACAAUGAUGAAUUCAACGAGUUUAUAACCUUGGUUGAAAAGCCUGGGUAAUCUUUUGAACUUUCGUCGUGAUGGGGCUAGACCCUUGCAAUUAUUGGUCUCCAACGAGGAAUUCCUAGUAAACGCAAGUCAUCAGCUUGCAUUGAUUACGUCCCUGCCCUUUGUACACACCGCCCGUCGCACCUACCGAUUGAAUGGUUUAGUGAGGCCUUCGGAUCCGCGACUCGUUUUGUGGAGAAGUUGGACAAACUCAGUCAUUUAGAGGAAGUAAAAGUCGUAACA
rnacentral:rRNA from 1 species